CAUGAGGGAUGAAGACUUCCCAGUUAAUAAACUGAAUAUUUGUGCCCUCUCCCAAAUUCAUAUGCUGCUCUGACGGCCUGGAGUGGCGUCCCCUUUACCCAAAAAGAGCUGGACAACAGAAGGGGUCCUUGGCUUACAAAUGAAUUCCCUUCCAGAAGAACUUUUAAGUCCCCUCCACAUCACUGGUGCUUUUCCUCUUUCUUCCACAUAUCCUGGGCUCUGAUUGAACGCUAUUCUACUGUACAUGACUCGGUUGCCCUGUACAGUAAGCGCACAGCAACGCAACAGUGACAAU